GGGGGAUAUUGCACAAUGGAGGAAACUCUGAUGCAGCAACGCCGCGUGAGGGAAGAAGGUCUUCGGAUUGUAAACCUUUGUCCUUGGUGACGAAACAAAUGACGGUAGCCAAGGAGGAAGCUCCGGCUAACUACGUGCCAGCAGCCGCGGUAAUACGUAGGGAGCAAGCGUUGUCCGGAUUUACUGGGUGUAAAGGGCGUGUAGGCGGGAAUGUAAGUCAGGCGUGAAAACUAUGGGCUUAACCCAUAGACUGCGUUUGAAACUGUGGGGCUUGAGUGAAGUAGAGGUAGGCGGAAUUCCCGGUGUAGCGGUGAAAUGCGUAGAGAUCGGGAGGAACACCAGUGGCGAAGGCGGCCUACUGGGCUUUAACUGACGCUGAAGCACGAAAGCAUGGGUAGCAAAC
rnacentral:rRNA from 1 species